rnacentral:rRNA from 1 species
AGAGUUUGAUCCUGGCUCAGGACGAACGCUGGCGGCGUGCUUAACACAUGCAAGUCGAACGGUGACGAGGAGCUUGCUCCUCUGAUCAGUGGCGAACGGGUGAGUAACACGUGAGCAACCUGCCCCAGACUCUGGGAUAACAGUUGGAAACAGCUGCUAAUACCGGAUACGAGACGGAGAGGCAUCUCUACCGUCUGGAAAGUUUUUCGGUCUGGGAUGGACUCGCGGCCUAUCAGCUAGUUGGUGAGGUAAUGGCUCACCAAGGCGACGACGGGUAGCCGGCCUGAGAGGGCGACCGGCCACACUGGGACUGAGACACGGCCCAGACUCCUACGGGAGGCAGCAGUGGGGAAUAUUGCACAAUGGGCGAAAGCCUGAUGCAGCGACGCCGCGUGAGGGAUGACGGCCUUCGGGUUGUAAACCUCUUUCAGCAGGGAAGCGAAAGUGACGGUACCUGCAGAAGAAGCACCGGCUAACUACGUGCCAGCAGCCGCGGUAAUACGUAGGGUGCGAGCGUUGUCCGGAAUUAUUGGGCGUAAAGAGCUUGUAGGCGGUUUGUCGCGUCUGCAGUGAAAAUCCGAGGCUCAACCUCGGACUUGCUGUGGGUACGGGCAGACUAGAGUAUGGUAGGGGAGACCGGAAUUCCUGGUGUAGCGGUGGAAUGCGCAGAUAUCAGGAGGAACACCGAUGGCGAAGGCAGGUCUCUGGGCCAUAACUGACGCUGAGAAGCGAAAGCAUGGGGAGCGAACAGGAUUAGAUACCCUGGUAGUCCAUGCCGUAAACGUUGGGCGCUAGGUGUGGGGCUCAUUCCACGAGCUCCGUGCCGCAGCUAACGCAUUAAGCGCCCCGCCUGGGGAGUACGGCCGCAAGGCUAAAACUCAAAGGAAUUGACGGGGGCCCGCACAAGCGGCGGAGCAUGCGGAUUAAUUCGAUGCAACGCGAAGAACCUUACCAAGGCUUGACAUAUACCGGAAACAUCAGAGAUGUGUGCCCCGCAAGGUCGGUAUACAGGUGGUGCAUGGUUGUCGUCAGCUCGUGUCGUGAGAUGUUGGGUUAAGUCCCGCAACGAGCGCAACCCUCGUUCUAUGUUGCCAGCGCGUAGUGGCGGGGACUCAUAGGAGACUGCCGGGGUCAACUCGGAGGAAGGUGGGGAUGCUGUCAAAUCAUCAUGCCCCUUAUGUCUUUGGCUUCACGCAUGCUACAAUGGCCGGUACAAAGGGCUGCG